AUUGAACGCUGGCGGCAUGCCUUACACAUGCAAGUCGAACGGUAACAGGCAGCUUGCUGCGCUGACGAGUGGCGAACGGGUGAGUAAUAUAUCGGAACAUACCCUAGAGUGGGGGAUAACUAGUCGAAAGACUAGCUAAUACCGCAUACGAACUAAGGUUGAAAGUGGGGGAUCUUCGGACCUCAUGCUCAUGGAGUGGCCGAUAUCUGAUUAGCUAGUUGGUGAGGUAAAGGCUCACCAAGGCAUCGAUCAGUAGCUGGUCUGAGAGGAUGAUCAGCCACACUGGAACUGAGACACGGUCCAGACUCCUACGGGAGGCAGCAGUGGGGAAUAUUGGACAAUGGGCGCAAGCCUGAUCCAGCAAUGCCGCGUGUGUGAAGAAGGCCUCGGUUGUAAGUACGACUUUAUUCUAGGAACGAAAGACGUUAGGAGUUAA
rnacentral:rRNA from 1 species